rnacentral:rRNA from 1 species
UGGGGAAUAUUGCACAAUGGGCGCAAGCCUGAUGCAGCUAUGCCGCGUGUGUGAAGAAGGCCUUCGGGUUGUAAAGCACUUUCAGCGGGGAGGAAGGCGUUAAGGUUAAUAACCUUGGCGAUUGACGUUACCCGCAGAAGAAGCACCGGCUAACUCCGUGCCAGCAGCCGCGGUAAUACGGAGGGUGCAAGCGUUAAUCGGAAUUACUGGGCGUAAAGCGCACGCAGGCGGUUGAUUGAGUCAGAUGUGAAAUCCCCGGGCUUAACCCGGGAAUUGCAUCUGAUACUGGUCAGCUAGAGUCUUGUAGAGGGGGGUAGAAUUCCAUGUGUAGCGGUGAAAUGCGUAGAGAUGUGGGGGAAUACCGGUGGCGAAGGCGGCCCCCUGGACAAAGACUGACGCUCAGGUGCGAAAGCGUGGGGAGCAAACAGG